GAGAACAGCAUAUCAGACAAACCUUAUGGAGGUGGAAUUUAUCUUGACACAUCAGUUUUGACAGUAGAUUAUAGAGCAUUUGUAGAAAUUGUAUUCGAGAACAAUGAAAACAUCGUCCAGAGCUGGCAUCUUAAUGGUUACAGUUUCUUUGUUGUUGGUAUGGAUGGAGGACAGUGGACAACAAAUAGCAGGAACCAAUACAAUCUCCGUGAUGCAGUUGCACGAUGCACCACACAAGUAUAUCCCAAGUCAUGGACUGCUAUUUAUGUUCCACAUGCCUACGUUGUCAAGUAGGUCAGAAUUCUGGGCUCGUCAAUACCUCGGCCAGCAGCUAUAUUUGAGAGUUUACACAACAUCAACUUCACUUAGAGAUGAAUUUCCCAUUCCAAAGAAUGCACUUCUUUGUGGUAAAGCAAGUGGUCGGAGCACGCGACCUCUCUAAGCUAGCGAGACACUGUUCACUGUUUAUCAUUUAAGGCAGAGAAGCCUGGCCUGACAUCUGGCUAGCUCUGGAGAAAUGAAUGAAGAGAAAAGUUUUUGAGUCCUGUUUUCUUGUUGGC
rnacentral:misc_RNA from 1 species